rnacentral:rRNA from 1 species
AGGAUGCGAGCGUUAUCCGGAUUUAUUGGGUUUAAAGGGUGCGUAGGCGGUCCGUUAAGUCAGCGGUAAAAUUAGCGGGGCGUCAACCCCGUCCGAGCCGUUGAAACUGUCAGACUUGAGUUGGCGAGAAGUACGCGGAAUGCGCGGUGUAGCGGUGAAAUAGCAUAGAUAUCGCGCAGAACUCCGAUUGCGAAGGCAGCGUACCGGCGCCACACUGACGCUGAGGCACGAAAGCGUGGGGAUCGAACAGG